UCUGGGAUUAGUAUUUGUACUUGUAACACAGGAGUUGGCUUCGCUAAUAGUUCUUAGCUAUUAGAGGCAGCAACUGAGCCUCAAGAUGGAGUUCUUCAAAUCAAAUCAAAAAUAUUUUAUUUCGUAGGUUAAUUGCAUCACACUUGAAGUAUGUAAUUUUUUCAUACAGCUCGUUCGAAUGGCAGAUUUCCUUAGAGAAGAAUGAGCAAGAAACUCUAAGGUUGCUCUUUUCAGAAAUCAUGAAGCAGAUUUCCCGCAUGAUGCAUGGACCAGCCAUCGCCUCCCUCGGCCAUAUAUAAGGAAAGGGAACGACCCUCCCCACGUCGCCGCUACAAGCAGUAGCAUGAUGCCUGUCACGAGAACUCUACCAGAUGGAAACGAAGCAGAUAAUUAAUAUGAUUGCCCUCGAAUUUUAAUCCCUAGAAUGGUUGUCGCAUACCCUGGUUUGACUAAAUACACAACCCUAGCGGUUACAUAGAGUGGGCGAAAUAUACCGACCUGACUCCUUACUCAUUAACAAGAUAACUGUUAUUCUGAUAUUUAUAAUCUCCACAUGAUCUGGGUUAAAGUUUUUCUCCACCAUAACGGUUUUCUUUGGCGUUCUGUCGUUCUUUGUCACUGAGUUUUUCAGAGAACGAGUCUCACACGCCAGGGUAACGUAAGAGGUGCUGUCUUCACGUUAGCGGUCCUUCAAGAGAUUUAGCCUCAGGAGGGGACCAGUCUGCUCAGUUUGGGGAAUCCCUCCUCGAGCGAAAAUGCUCGUCGUAUUCUGAACGACUCAGCAUGCCUUGUUAUUCCUUACAGAGACGCAGCUAUCUCGACCUCGUGACCCAGUGUAUUAAACUUGCCCCAGGUGCAGAAUUUAGCAUAAUUUUUCUAUUACCUCCUUGCUCUUCAAAAUCAUGGAAAUCAUAAAUAGCCGCUAGUUCUUAAAAUGCCCAGAGAAACAUCAGUUGAUAAACGACCGACAGUACUUACGGCUUUCUUCAUGAUAGAUCGGCUUUCUUCUGGUGAUGAUGAUAGAUGGCCGGUUGUUAUCGAAAGCUAGUCUAGAUGUUAAGUCCAUUAAUUAUCUAUUAUGACCUCAGAACACCACCCUUUUAAUUUUUGAAUAAUAAAUUGUUUUAUAGGUUUUCCUUAUUUUGUUUUUCAACCACAAUCAAAAAUAUUCAAAUCAGCCAACUUGUUUUUAGUUUACUCGAGAUUGAUCUUUUUUUUAAAUUAAAUAUUUGAAAUAGAAAUAAAUUUACUGCAGGAUUUUAGAACUUCUCCAACUAUUGAAGCCGAUAAAAAUAUCCGAAUAUAAUCCUAACUAUGGAUAUGAGACGUAUUGGCCAGGCGGGCAUUGGGUGUUUCAAGAACCUAUGUUGCCACCAAACGAGACCACGACGAAGGUGCCCCUGGUGUGUGGUGAGGAGUGCAACUAUCUUUACACCAGAGUUGGAGCUGUCUGUGGAAGACAAAUAAAUAAUAAAGAAUACGAGCAAUGUAUCACAUUCUUUGGCUGGUUCUGCAUAUCGGGAUCUUGGGAUGAAUUUCAUCGGACCUUCAAAACGUUUAAUACUUAUUGUGAGUUUCUCGACGCUCAGUGCAAGAGUUCGUUUCAGAACAGGUGGAUCUUUGUGCGUGAGGGUCCGUGCACUCACGAUUACGACAAAUACUUCCCGUUAAUGGGUGACACCCAGAAGCCGUACAGUCGCCUGGUGCACUACGUCACUCAGCUUGCCCAGAACUUCCACAACGCGUCGUUGCCAGUACCCCAGGGCUACGGACCGGACCACGUAUACCAGAGUUUCGGGACCGCGCGGAAGAACAACCAGGCCGCCUCAUCCAGUCUGUUUGAUAAAAUUCGUAAAACCUUUUUUGGAAAUAAAUAAUAUGUUUGUUUAAUA